GACGAACCGUGCGAACGUUAUUCGGAAUGACUGGGCUUAAAGAGCAUGUAGGCGGAUCGGAACGUCCGUGGCUGAAAGCCCCCCGGCUCAACCGGGGAAGUGGCGCGGAUACGACCGAUCUCGAGGGGGGUAGGGGGACCUGGAACUUCCGGGUGGAGCGGUGAAAUGCGCAGAUAUCAGGAGGAACACCGAUGGCGAAGGCAGGUCUCUGGGCGAUUAA
rnacentral:rRNA from 1 species